CCUACGGGGGGCUGCAGUGGGGAAUAUUGGGCAAUGGAGGAAACUCUGACCCAGCAACGCCGCGUGAAUGAUGAAGGUCUUCGGAUUGUAAAGUUCUUUUCUAAGGGAAGAAGAAAGUGACGGUACCUUAGUAAUAAGCCUCGGCUAACUACGUGCCAGCAGCCGCGGUAAUACGUAGGAGGCGAGCGUUAUCCGGAAUGACUGGGCGUAAAGGGUGCGUAGGUGGUUUGGCAAGUUAGUCGCGUAACUCCACGGCUCAACCUUGGAACUACUACUAAAACUGUUGGACUUGAGUGCAGGGGGGGCAAGCGGAAUUCCUAGUGUAGCGGUGGAAUGCGUAGAUAUUAGGAGGAACACCAGUGGCGAAGGCGGGUUGCUAGACUGUAACUGACACUGAGGCACGAAAGCGUGGGGAGCAAACAGGAUUAGAUACCCCAGUAGUC
rnacentral:rRNA from 1 species